rnacentral:rRNA from 1 species
CCUACGGGGGGCAGCAGUGGGGAAUAUUGCACAAUGGGCGAAAGCCUGAUGCAGCAACGCCGCGUGAAGGAAGACGGUUUUCGGAUUGUAAACUUCUAUCAAUAGGGAAGAAAGAAAUGACGGUACCUAAAUAAGAAGCCCCGGCUAACUACGUGCCAGCAGCCGCGGUAAUACGUAGGGGGCAAGCGUUAUCCGGAAUUACUGGGUGUAAAGGGAGAGUAGGCGGCAAGGUAAGCGAUAUGUGAAAGCCUUAGGCUUAACCAAAGGAUUGCAUAACGAACUAUCUAGCUAGAGUACAGGAGAGG